UACAGAGGUCCCAAGCGUUGUUCGGAUUCACUGGGCGUAAAGGGUGCGUAGGUGGUGAGGUAAGUCGGAUGUGAAAGCUCGGAGCUCAACUCCGAAAUGGCAUUGGAAACUACCUUGCUCGAGGGUUGGAGGGGGGACUGGAAUACUUGGUGUAGCGGUGAAAUGCGUAGAUAUCAAGUGGAACACCAGUGGCGAAGGCGAGUCCCUGGACAACUCCUGACACUGAGGCACGAAAGCUAGGGGAGCAAACAGG
rnacentral:rRNA from 1 species